rnacentral:rRNA from 1 species
UACGAAGGGGGCUAGCGUUGUUCGGAAUUACUGGGCGUAAAGCGCACGUAGGCGGCUUGUUAAGUCAGGGGUGAAAUCCUGGAGCUCAACUCCAGAACUGCCUUUGAUACUGGCGAGCUUGAGUCCGGGAGAGGUGAGUGGAACUGCGAGUGUAGAGGUGAAAUUCGUAGAUAUUCGCAAGAACACCAGUGGCGAAGGCGGCUCACUGGCCCGGUACUGACGCUGAGGUGCGAAAGCGUGGGGAGCAAACAGG